rnacentral:miRNA from 7 species
UGUGUGACUGGUUGACCAGAGGGG